GGAAAACAAAACAAAACGUUUGCUCUACCUAUGAAGGAAUUUCUAAAAAAUCCGACGGCGGAAUUGCAGAAAAAACGCUUGCUGGCAGAACUCUGAAGUGAUGGACAUUUACGGGAUGUAUUUUUAUUUUGUAGUCCUUUCGAAAGCCAAAUGGAAACCAGUCUGAAAAACCACCAGGAAAUUUAUUUGAAUCGAUACUUAGAGGAUUAUUUCAUUACGGAUAAUGUUGUGUUCCACUAUUCGGAUUUGGAUGUUCCUUAGUCACGGUAGCUCUUUUCGCUUUCCGAAUUAAUCAGUGGUGUUAUUUUGAGCAAUAGAGUGGAUUAAGGAUUAUGUUUAAUUGAGCAAGGCAACUUUGAUGAUUAUUGACCUUUCACCGAACUAAAGGCAUUUUUGUUUUUAAUGUGCACUACACUGGUGUAGUCGGUGCUACACUCAUACAAACUUGGGUGUACGUGUAAUGAGUCUUUCUUUGCACUACACUGUGUAGCACCAGGUGAAAACGAAAAUGCUAUAAGAGCGUAAGCGUGGUAUGCGUUUUUACUUCUGUGCCACAUAGUGUACAGUGAAUAAUAGCUUUGUUCCAGUACCAGGAGAAACUGGAAGUAUUCCGCAAGAAAACUGGUAGAAAACCGUUCCUGUAUUCUAUUCUUCUCUUUUUUCUUCUGGUAGUAAACCGGAACAAAAGGAGCAACUAUUUUUUGCUCCGGAGCAACUUCCGUGUACUGGAACAAACAUAAUGUGAUGAAUUGAAAGGA